CCCGGAAAAGCCGCAGUGGUUUCGGUGUUCUGCAGUACCACGGGAGCAGUGGGGUACAGCGGGUGGACGUCAUCAUGAAGGCACCCAUUGAGUGGACGGCCCAGAUGGUUCAGGUUUCCUCUUUGUCAAAACUUAGAACCACGCGUCAAGGUGAAGUACGGAAGGCCGUCCGGUGCAGUGGUACCGCACUGCGCUCAACUUUAAGGUGGUCUAGUUGUUUCCAACCAAUCAGGAGCCGAUGCCGCGACAUGACGGGAGGCUCGCCGCUCGGUUUCGGC
rnacentral:lncRNA from 1 species